rnacentral:pre_miRNA from 1 species
UUUGAUGGGAAUGUUGCUUGGCACGAUGUCAUCUAGGGUACUCAUUAUUAAGUCUGUUUCAUAAUCAUGCGUACUUUUAUGUCUUUGAAUUCGUAAUGUUUCGUGAUAUAUACAUAGAUAUAUAUUUAUAUAUAUAGAUGCAUACAAUCAAUAUGCAUAUAUAGCCCUAAGUGAUGUCGGACCAGGCUUCAUUCCCCUCAAA